AACGAACGCUGGCGGCAUGCCUAACACAUGCAAGUCGAACGAGAUCUUCGGGUCUAGUGGCGCACGGGUGCGUAACGCGUGGGAAUCUGCCCUUUGGUUCGGAAUAACAGUUGGAAACGACUGCUAAUACCGGAUGAUGACGGAAGUCCAAAGAUUUAUCGCCAGAGGAUGAGCCCGCGUAGGAUUAGCUAGUUGGUGUGGUAAGGCGCACCAAGGCGACGAUCCUUAGCUGGUCUGAGAGGAUGAUCAGCCACACUGGGACUGAGACACGGCCCAGACUCCUACGGGAGGCAGCAGUGGGGAAUAUUGGACAAUGGGCGAGAGCCUGAUCCAGCAAUGCCGCGUGAGUGAUGAAGGCCUUAGGGUUGUAAAGCUCUUUUACCCGGGAUGAUAAUGACAGUACCGGGAGAAUAAGCUCCGGCUAACUCCGUGCCAGCCGCCGCCGUAA
rnacentral:rRNA from 1 species